rnacentral:rRNA from 1 species
GAGCACCUGGCCUUUGGUGGUGGGGGAGUAGCCGGGCUAACGCCCGGGUAAUACCGCAUACGGUUGCCGAGGGGAGUCCCUUGGCAAAGAAACCUCCGGGGCACAGAGAGGGGCUCGCGGCCUAUCAGCUAGUUGGUGAGGUAAUGGCUCACCAAGGCGACGACGGGUAGCUGGUCUGAGAGGAUGGCCAGCCACAUUGGGACUGAGAUACGGCCCAG